AUUUGGAGCCAUUUCCGAAAAUGAAGCGCUUUUUAUUGGCAAGAGAGCAGACAUAGAAAGAAAAUACAUUUCAAACAGUAAAAUGGUGAAAAAGCGGGACUUACAGCAGCGCUUCCGAAAAAACAAUGCCGCCAGCAAAACCGCCUGGGAAAUGAUUUUGAGAGGAGAAAA